CAGUCGCCGCGGGAAUACAGAGGGUGCAAGCGUUAAUCGGAAUUACUGGGCGUAAAGCGUGCGCAGACGGUUACAUAAGUCGGGUGUGAAAGCCCCGGGCUCAACCUGGGAAUUGCAUUCGAGACUGUGUAGCUAGGGUACGGAAGAGGGAAGCGGAAUUUCAGGUGUAGCGGUGAAAUGCGUAGAUAUCUGAAGGAACACCAGUGGCGAAAGCGGCUUCCUGGUCCAGUACCGACGUUCAGGCACGAAAGCGUGGGGAGCAAACAGGAUUAGAUACCCGCGUAGUCCCUGUCUCUUAUAC
rnacentral:rRNA from 1 species